rnacentral:rRNA from 1 species
AGUUAAAAUGCUUUGUAAUUGGAAUGAUAGAAAUUUAAACCCUUUUUAAAGUAUCAAUUGGAGGGCAAGUCUGGUGCCAGCAGCCGCGGUAAUUCCAGCUCCAAUAGCGUAUAUUAAAAUUGUUGCAGUUAAAAAGCUCGUAGUUGAAGUUCUGCUGAAAGUAACCGGUCUGCUUUUAAUAAAAGUGGUAUCUUGGUAUGUAUUUAGCAAUGAUGUCCUUUGAAGUGUUUUUUACUUUAUUGUAAUAAAGCAUAUUCAGGAUUUUUACUUUGAGAAAAUUAGAGUGUUUCUAGCAGGCUGACGCUUUGAAUACUGCAGCAUGGAAUAAUAAGAUAGGAUUUUAGUUCUACAUUAUUGGUUUUAAGAGCUAAAUUAAUGAUUGAUAGGGACAGUUGGGGGCAUUUGUAUUUA